rnacentral:rRNA from 1 species
GGCCUAAAUGCCCUAUGUAGUCGUUUGAUCGCCUGAGAUUUCGACGAAAGAUUUAUCGGUAUUGGAUGGGGGAUGCGUCUGAUUAGCUUGUUGGCGGGGUAAAGGCCCCACCAAGGCAACGAUCAGUAGGGGUUUCUGAGAGGAAGGUCCCCCACAUUGGAACUGAGACACGGUCCAAACUCCUACGGGAGGCAGCAGUGAGGAAUAUUGGUCAAUGGGCGAGAGCCUGAACCAGCCAAGUAGCGUGCAGGAUGACGGCCCUAUGGGUUGUAAACUGCUUUUAUAUGGGAAUAAAGUGAGGGGACGUGUCCCUUUAUUGCAUGUACCAUACGAAUAAGGACCGGCUAAUUCCGUGCCAGCAGCCGCGGUAAAU